GACCAGACUCCUACGGGAGGCAGCAGUGGGGAAUAUUGCACAAUGGGGGAAACCCUGAUGCAGCGACGCCGCGUGGAGGAAGAAGGUCUUCGGAUUGUAAACUCCUGUCCUUGGGGACGAUAAUGACGGUACCCAAGGAGGAAGCACCGGCUAACUACGUGCCAGCAGCCGCGGUAUAACGUAGGGUGCAAGCGUUGUCCGGAAUUACUGGGUGUAAAGGGAGCGCAGGCGGAUUGACAAGUCAGAUGUGAAAUCCUGCGGCUUAACCGCAGAACUGCAUUUGAAACUGUUGAUCUUGAGUACUGGAGAGGCAGACGGAAUUCCUAGUGUAGCGGUGAAAUGCGUAGAUAUUAGGAGGAACACCAGUGGCGAAGGCGGUCUGCUGGACAGCAACUGACGGUGAGGCGCGAAAGCGUGGGGAGCAAACAGGAUUAGAUACCCCCGUA
rnacentral:rRNA from 1 species